AUGAAGCCCGCGGCACCAAUGGACGUGGAGCGCGCCACCGCCACGGCGGUGUUUUGGACGCCGCACUCAUGUUUCGACCCGAUGCGGCCGGAGCCCGUGGCCGUGGGUGCGCCAAGACCCAAUCCUUUCCAGUGGCCGCCGCGGCGCCGUCCAGGAACGGCGGACGUACGAUCCGCCAGUCGCGGCGCCGUCCAGGAACGGCGGCUUCGGCACCGUCCCGGCGUCGGGGAGAAGGCCAUCGCUGGCCUGCCCAGGAUCACGGCCGGCGAGGCGAGGGAGAAGGGCUGCUCCGUGUGCAUGGAGGCCUUCGAGGAGGGCGAGGCGCUGAGGAGGAUGCACUGCUCCCACGCGUUCCACGAGGACUGCAUCUCCAUGUGGCUCAGCGUCAGCCACCUCUGCCCGCUCUGCCGCUUCGCGCUGCGCACCCAAGGCCAAGAGGACGAGGAGGAGCGUACGGGCCGCGAGUAG
rnacentral:rRNA from 1 species